UCCUGGGUGGCUCAGUGGUAAAGAAUCUGCCUGCAAUGCAGGAGACACAGGUUCAAUCCCUGAUCUGAGAA
rnacentral:tRNA from 1 species